rnacentral:rRNA from 1 species
GAUGAACGCUAGCUACAGGCUUAACACAUGCAAGUCGAGGGGAAACGAUAGAGAAGGCUUGCUUUUUCUAGGCGUCGACCGGCGCACGGGUGAGUAACGCGUAUCCAACCUGCCCACCACUUGGGAAUAACCUUGCGAAAGUAAGACUAAUACCCAAUGAUAUCUCUAGAAGACAUCUGAAGGAGAUUAAAGAUUUAUCGGUGAUGGAUGGGGAUGCGUCUGAUUAGCUUGUUGGCGGGGUAACGGCCCACCAAGGCGACGAUCAGUAGGGGUUCUUAGAGGAAGGUCCCCACCAUUGGAACUGAGACACGGUCCAAACUCCUACGGGAGGCAGCAGUGAGGAAUAUUGGUCAAUGGGCGAGAGCCUGAACCAGCCAAGUAGCGUGCAGGAUGACGGCCCUAUGGGUUGUAAACUGCUUUUAUAAGGGAAUAAAGUGAGCCUCGUGAGGCUUUUUGCAUGUACCUUAUGAAUAAGGACCGGCUAAUUCCGUGCCAGCCGCCGCCGUAA